rnacentral:lncRNA from 1 species
AAAAGAGAAAAUAAGGCAUUUGGGAUGCCGAUGUUAAAAGGAGAAGGUAAUCAGAGAAGAAAAAAGGAAGUCGGUGGAGAGUUCUGCGAAGAUUUUGAAGAUUUCUAGCAGAGAAGCAGGGGGUUCUGGAGAAGGGAAUAGACUUGGCCAGAUACCCAGGAAGACUUCCUCAACAGAUGUCCCAUCAUGCUGAGAUUCAACGCGACAUUUUAGAGUCAUGCAACCAUGUGAGAAAAAAAGUCCCAGUAACCUUUGUUGGGGCUGGAGGGCAGGAUCCCGAGGUCCCGGAGGAGCUGCUCCACCUCCUCCAGCCAGGACAGCGCGUGCCUCAGGACGUCCAGCACCACCUUCUGGAGCCCCGAGACAGGUGGGCUCACCUGGAGGUGCUGAAGAAGGUCGACCUCCUUCUUCAGGUCAUGGCUGCAACAGGAUAUUUUCAUGCAAGCCUGCAAAGAGGUGAGAUCAUGAGGAGCCCAGGCCCUGUGGCCAGAAAUAGCCCCUGACGUGACCUUCGAGGAACAGCGUUCUUGACUCUGCCACGAAGCAGGCAGCGCCACGUAUUGGCCGCCUUGGGAGGACUCAGUUUUUUUCUUUUUUAAAAUUUUUAUGUUUUGACAGGUUUUUUUUUAAUACUCUAAUUUGGACUUUUGAUGGUCAAAGCGAACCCCCUUUUAGGUCUAUGAAACCCCAGAGCCAAAGUACCAUCAACAGUUUGGCUGCAAUGAGAAGCAAAUGUGGCUACUUCUUUUUUCCAUUCGUCAGAAUUCCUGCCAAGAUCAACACACAAGCUGGUCGGAAAGCGUGGUUUCCUGAUUUGAAAGAGUGCUGACAAGCCAGCAUUUGCACAAACUCCCCAAACAGGAGCUGCUGAUUUCCAGAGAAAGCAGAAGCCACCGCCUGCUCUGAUAAGCCAUGUCCCAGGGUGGGGGCCGCAGGGCUGUGGCCAAGUCCUCCCGUCCCUGCUCCUCCAGAGUCAAAAGCAACGGUGUGGAAACCGCCUUUUGUGGCUGGGCCAAAACAAGAAAAUGCAAAUAAAAAGCAGGAAUGUUUCUUUGGUUUCUCUGGAAAUAACAUAGGGGCUAUGAAAACAAUUUCUUUUUGGCUGGGGAUGCGGGCCGCUCAAAGUCAGUAAUUGAAGAUGCUCAGGCAUCUUUUUUGGACACGCCAAGUUCUCCCGGGAGGCAUUUUUUUAGGCCCUUUGUUUUUUCUUCUCCAACAAGUUUCUCCAACAAGAGGAAAAAGUGGAUAGAAAAGCCAAGCAUUUCUGCCCAACUUGCUCCAAAAAAGCUGGGCAAUUUCCCAAAUAAGCCGCACAAAAAUUAGACAAAGAGACCAUUUGUGGAAAGCGUAAGGAGGGGCCACCUGGCAGCUGUCCAGCGACGUCCUCAGCUUCUCGAUGUUCUCGGUGGUCUCCUCCUGCUUGGAGUUGCUCAGCUGGGUCUCUUUCUGGAGGGUCCACUUUUUCUGCUGAAAAUUGAUGUUGUCCUCAGUGACCUGGGUAAUUUUCUCUAUUAACUGGUGAGAAAAAGAAAAAGGAAAAAAAAAAAAAAGAUGUAACAUACAGGGGUGGGGGGCCCUGAGGGAAGGGGAAUGGGAGAGGGGAGAGAUGCAACUUAAGUCCCUGUCUAAGCACGGGAGGACAGAGGUCCUGAUAUGUCUUGGUGAUGGCUGUCAAGGGGGACGUUGGUCCUGUCACCAGGGAAUGAGUCCCAGAAUCAGAGAUUCUCUUUUCUUUUUUCUUUUCUUUUUUUUUUUUUUGCGACGGAGUUUCACUCUUGUUGCCCAGGCUGGAGUGCAAUGGUUUGAUCUCGGCUCACCGCAACCUCCGCCUCCUGGGUUCAAGCGAUUCUCCUGCCUCAGCCUCUGAAGUAGCUGAGAUUACAGGCACGCGCCACCAUGCCCGGCUAAUUUUGUAUUUUUAAUAGAGAUGGGGUUUUACCAUGUUGGUCAGGCUGGUUUCGAACUCCCGACCUGAGGUGAUCCACCCGCCUCGGCCUCUCAAAGUGCUGGCAUUACAGGCAUGAGCCACCACUCCUUGCCGAUCAGAGAUUAUUUUUAUGAUCCAAAGGCCUGUCUUGUGGCCCUGAGUUUGUUCCAGAUUCUUCUGUGUUGUAUAGGGAUUCAGAACACUGAGCCUGAUAUUAUGGGCUCAUAAGCAGCAGGUCAGGUUCUCCCACACCCACUGAGAGCAGCCCACGGCACAUUUUCCCAUCUGUGCUUUGACACAGGGGGCUAGAAAGUGUAGUGGAAGAACAGCAAGGCAAUCAUUACAGCCAGACAUCCACCCUCACUGCCACUGUCAACUUUUCUCCUCUGAAGGAACGCGCCAGAACGCACUGGCUGUGGGGAGGCGGCUCCCUUUCUCCCAGUGCUAAUGGAGGCGAAACAUGCAUGUCUGGAGACCAGAAGUAAGCCCGAAUGGUUUAAUUUGAUUUUCACAGACACAUUUCAAGGGAGUUUUAACUGGCUUUUACUUUAAAAGCCAGGAAAUCCCAUAAAAUCAAAACAAAUCUUUAUGGUGUAGCAACAGUGUGAAAAAUAUGCCACCAACAAAAACAGAAACAUAUGCUCCCAGGGUCUGGAAUCCAGAUCCACGAAGAAGAAGAAGAGGAAAGUGAAGGAGCCACGUGGCAGGGACGGCAGACUAACCUGUUGGUCGGUGACGGGCUUGUCCCGGAACGGCUUCGCCCGUCCAUAGGUGGCCUUGAUGACUUGACUUCUGAAGUGCUCCAGCUGCAGCAGAGAGGGGGCAACAGUGUCAGGGGGUCAGCAGGGGCCGGCAAGUGGGGGCAGCGUUUCCAUGGCAGGGUGCGGGAAACACCACUUAGCAGGGUUUGCACGCCUGAAUGACCAUUCCGCGUUAUCAGAAUCUUCACCGCUCACGGGGAGUGGCGGGACCCACAGAAGAAAAGAGAACAGCAGGCUUUAAUUACUUUUUAGGCACGCCUGCCUAACCCGAACGAUGCCUGUGGUCAGUGCACACACAUGUCUCAAACCCUCAGAAGAGCCUCUUGCUGCCAAUUAUCCAAUGGGAAGUCUGGGGCCGGGAGCGCUCUUCCGUAAUUGCUAAGUUGGCACCAGACUGUGAAAUAAAUAUUGAGGCUGUCAGUCC